AUCUGCAUAGACGUUUUGCGCAACUUUUGUAAUUUUUUUCUUUUUGGAUUGUCUUACGCUUUUAUCUGAUGCCCAUUUUGAAUAAUUUAAAAGACUAAGAUUAAAAAAACAAUAUUUAGGUAAAUUAAAACUACAAAGCUUUUACUGAAUUAAUAUUUAAUGUAGAAAACUGUACAAAAAUAUUCUUAUAUAAAAGAAACCUACAAAUAAUGCGAAUGGCUCACAAAAUUACAUAUCUAUAAUAUCGUUUUCAGUUUAGCUCUGAAGAAGCCAACAGGAUGAUUGGCAAAACGUCGAGAAGUUUGAUCCAUAAACAAACAACGCAGGAAGAAUGCAAAAGCUUUGUAAAUAGUGAAACUCAUCUUUAAAAAAAAAAAAAAUUAGAAAAGCGAGAAAAGAUAAAUGUUCUUCUUCGAUACUCCAUCCAUGAGUGUUCCAGUCUCGGCUGUUACGAAAAAGGAUCACCAUGCCAUGAGAAAUCACUAGAAAUUAAUUUCAAGUUUUUUAUGUUCCUAUAACUGCCGCUCGAAGACGCAACUUCUAGUUUAAAUAUGAAAAAGCAAAUUUACAAAAUUUUUGCCUAGAAAAGAGUUGUUAAAAAUAAUGAAUCACACAAGUUCGGAUUUUGCAAUAUCUAAGUGGUGGGAAAGUUAAAUGUGUUUUUAUUUAAAUGUGUGUUAAAUGUGGAUUAUAACAAUAUACAUUUGGGAGUAGACUUUUUAAGACGCUGCGUUAUAACAUAACAUACAGUUCGCUCAUUUUCUAAAAUUUUAAAUGCAUGCAUAUUUUUUAAAUAGUCUAAAGCGCUCUUGAUUAUGACAAUUCUGAGAAAAUAUGAGAGAAAAAAUGAGAAAAUUAUUAAUUUACUUGGAUAUAGAUAAUACCAGAAUACCUUAAUGGUCACAUGACAUGACAAUUAGUAAUAAGUAAGUUGUCAUUACAUGUAGGUUUUGGAAAAAAGUAAAUUUAAAGUAUGACUUUAAACAUCAAAGUGUUAGAUUAAAAUUUGUAUCACUUUUGUUUCAUUUGAUUGCUUCAAAAUAGCAAUUAAUUGAAGAAAGUGUUGUUAUCAUUCGGUAACAUUUUAAUUGCUGUGGCAAUGUGGUAAUUCUUGUGUUUUUGCAGGGCACAGAGCGAAGCAAUUUUCAAAAGUCACUUUUUCUAACACCUACCUGUUGCAUCUUUUUUGUAAAUUAAGCUUUUUUCCUAUAUUUUCUUAGAAUGAUCACGAUCUUUAUAUUUGUUAAUAUUUUUGUAAAUAUCUUCCAUUUAGGAAAAGAUGUCAAGAUGCGGUUUUCGCUGACUUCUUAAGCUUUUAUUGCUCUUUGCCAUCGGUUAGAAGUAUAAAAAAAGUACACCGUUGCUUGUAAAAUUUUAAGAAAAAGCUCAACGUUCGUUAAGUUGUAAGACAAUUCCACCUAGCGGCUGUUAGUGUGAAAUACAUAUUUUUUUUAUAAGUUAGAAUCUAAAAUAAGAAACUUUCUUGUGAGUCCUAUUUAAUAACUCGAAAAUAAUUUCCAACAAUUUCUUACGGCCUCUUUGGCAUCCCAUAUGAUUAAUGCUUCCCCAGAGCAGAGAGCUAUUCUUAAUGGAACAGGAGGUACACAAUGUAUAAAACAAAGAACAAAAUAUAUUUUCUUAUUUUAAUGACCACUUUAAAUUAUGCUUCGGCCGGAGCUCAAUAUUACUGAGCCAAUAGGCCUAACCAAUAAAAAUACUAAAAUGGUUCUAUUGCCGCAGAGCGCAAUUUUAAGUAUAUUGCCCCGAAUUUGGUGCUGCAAAUUUUCUUAAUUCUAAACUGGGAUAUAACAAGAAAAAUCAAUCAAAAUUUACUUCUUGUACCUUUUUUGUCGUUUAAUAAUAUUAAUUAGAUUGCCACAGCCGUUCGAAAUGAGUAUUCAUACAGUCAGUAUUUACGCAAAAAGUGCGUGUCUACAUUUUUCUUUGCUUACUUUUUUACUGAGUAAAGCUUAUUAAAGACGCUCUUCCAAUGACUUUAAACAUAAAUGAAACUAACAUAAAAAAUUACAAUUACAAAGGUAUCCUUAAUUCGAGAAAAUACGAUUUUGCAAUGUAAUAAAAGUAUACGGUAAUUGUAUUAAAACUUGGGUUAAUUUAAGUUAAUUUUUUCGAGAACUGCUGACUCCAUUUGGAUAUAUAUAUUUUUAAAUUGUACCUUAACUUUUCGGAAACGAUGUUACAAAAAGUUUUUUAUUUAAAUUUAAGCUUUAGGCAUGUACAGAGCGUAUUAACCGCUUAAUGCACACCUCCGUGAGAUAUAGGGGCAACGUUUACUGGCAGAAUUAUGAAACUCCAUAAAUGUUACGUCACUGUAAUUUUAUAUGUCUCAAAAUAUUACAGCUUUGUAUGGGUGACGGCUAAUAUAGAAAUAUAAUUUUCCAAAUAUUUUAAGCCUAUGUCUGUCAGGUUGGGUGGUAGAUUAUUGCUAUUCUCGGAAUUUGCAGCAGGUUCAAGAAAAGACAGCAUGGGCAAAAAAAUCAGAAAAGAAACAAGAUAUUGGUGCAGUGAGUGUGACGUGGACUCUGCGUAGUACCAUGUUUUAAAAUUUACCAUACACAAUUAAAAUAUUAAUAUAAAAAAGUUUUUUGCAAAAAUUAGUUAAAAUAAGUAUAAAUAAUUAUUUGCGAAAAAAAUAAAUGAUUUUUGUUGUACCUAAAUUAAUUAAAAAAAUGUGCAUUAAGGGGUUAACAAAAACCAGUUUUAUCCUCAAUGUUUGCCCCAUUUUAUUUUUGGUUAAUCGAUAUUCCUUAAAUAAAAAAUAAAUAACUUAUUCAAAUUAUAGGUAGAAAUAGUUAAACAAAGUUGUAACAGGGUGGACAGAACAUACGUCGUUAGUGAUUCUCAUUUUAUUGCAAGGGAUUUAACCAACAGAAGUUCCCUGUUUGCAAAAUCCAGUAUGUUAGUGUUAUUUCAUUAAAGAGAUUGUAAUAUUUAACUUAUAUUUGCCAGGAUAAUAUUAUUAAGUACAUAUCUACUUAUUUUUCAGGUUUUCAACUUCUGAUAUCCAAAUCUUUCAUAAAACCAAUACAUUUUGUCAAACUUCUGCAAAGAGAAUAAUAUUUACACUUCUUGCUAUAAGUCUUUGU